rnacentral:lncRNA from 1 species
AUCCAUGCAUUUGCCUUAGUUCAUGGUGAAUUCCUGGUGUUUUUAAUUAGUAGAAACGUGUCUAUCCAACCUUGCUUGUGAUUGAAGGAGUGACAGAUGUCAAAACCCCAAGUGAAGUGUGCCAGCUGCAGCAAAAACUGAAAUCUGCCAGACUGCCGUUGAGCGGUACCUGGGCGGUACCUGAGCGCUGCACCAGCAGAGGCAUUUUUCUGGUAUGCCGCCCAGCUGCACCAAAACGUGCAGCCCAGCGCUGCGUCUUGCUGCAGCUUUAUUUGCCACUUUUUGACCCAUUUUGACCGUACAUCCCAGCCCCUUUUUGACCCAUCUCACUUUUCCCUUUGACCCACUUUCUUUUUGUUGUUUAAAACCUAAUUCCUACCACUUUCCCUUUCUCUCUUUGCCAAACCAUCACCGUCAACCCCUCCAACCUCUACUUCAUUCUCACAUUUUCUCAUUUUCCACUCCAAUCUUUCAACUCUUCUCAUCAAAUUCACACAUUCAAUCAACCUUUCUCCAUUUUCACUCAAGCCCAUCCACUCUUAGUGCCUCUACACCCACGGGCAGCGCUCAUCUCAACCUGUGGAGUCUUGCUUGUGCCACUCAUUCAACUCCUUGCAAGUAGGUUGUGCCAUUCAUUUGCCAAUUUGUAGAAUUUGAUGGUUCAAUGUGUGUUUCCUGUUUGUGAUUUUAAUUGCAUGGACUAGGCUUCUUUAAGUGUGUGAUUGUUGUUGUGCUGCUGCAAUUUCCU